ensembl:Y_RNA Y_RNA Y RNA
UGUCGGUCCGAAAGCAGUGGGUUAUUUACAAUUGAUUGAUACAGUCAAGUACAGAAUUCCUUGUUUCUUCUCUCCCCUCUCCCACUGCUGAACUUGACUGGCUUUUU